AACGGAAAGAAAUCAUAGGCUGUCGGUGUAAUGUGAAGCAUACGUGAAAUCUAGCAUUUGUUCAAUCAGACCCUCGUUCUGCUUCCCAUUAACUGCCAAAUCAAAAAGGGGGGAAAAAAAAAGAAGGAAAAAAAAAAAAAGGAAGAGAGAAGAGAAAAAAAAGCCCUGAUUGCAGCAAAAUUCUGAUUCCCACCUCUAAAACUUGUGUAUCCCAGUGAAAACUUUGGAGCUGUGCUGCAGCUCGGUUCUGGUACUGCCCUCAGGACUCCCAAAUUCCCAGGCAACGGCCACACAAGCGAUGAUGACAACAGCAGCAACUACGAGGCUCCUCGCCGCCUGCUCUAUUUGAAAGCAAACCCACCUAUUUUUCAUCAGGCAACUCCAGACAGAAGUGGCAACUAAAGCUUUAAACCCUUUGGAAAUUCCUUUCUGAUUUAAGAGAGCCAGGGGGCUUUCGUCCUCUCCCUGCCGUUAGUUGUGAGGAAGGGCAACAAAAGAGAGGAGCCAGUCUUUGCCAGGUGUCAGGAAGAUGAGUCUUUAUUGAAGAGUAACCAGCGUUGCCACUCUCCAUAGGCCCUUUACCACCUUUGAAGGAGACUUUCUUGGUGCCUGCAAGAAUCUUGGGCUGCACCCAAGGUAUUCCCAUCCACCAGUAUGACAAGCAAUGGGCAAGGGUUCCUUCAGCCAACAUAGUUGAGACCUAUGGAUGGUACUCCCACCCCAGAGAACGGACAUAAUUGUGGUGGAAGUCAAAACAGAGAGAGAGGAGAGCAGUGCUUCUUUCAUCCCAUGGCAGCCACAGGGAGCAAAGUACACCUGAGCUCAGCAUCCCAUUUUUCCCUUCUCAGCUGGUCAAAUGGACCAAUUCAGAGUGACUCAAAGUGUUGGAUACGACGUAUAAAGACACAGCACAGGGCAAGCAGCCCUGACUCUUGCUGCCAGCAA